UGUUUGUGGUAUUUCUUAUGUGGGGAAGAACUGCAGACACAGAGUUUACCUGUUUAUCUCUGGUUAUAUUUGGUAAUCUUGAAAGAUCAUGGAACUCAAUGAUAACAGUCACACUAUGAUAACCAUAAUGCUACUACAAGGUAAAACGUUUUGCGUUUAUCUGGUUGAGAUGGAGUAGCUCCAGCCCAAGCUUGUCUGUAACUAGCAUUCAGUAGGAUAUAUAUUUAUUUUCUGUGAUAACACUUGCAGUGACCUCCAAACAAGAGUCAAAAUAUUGUUCUCCUGCACGUAGGAGGCCAAGUCUUCUUCCCUGAGCACUGAGCAGGGUGCAUGUGUCUCAGUAACAUUCAUGCAUUUUACACUGGUAAUAGCAGAGUUUUGUUUCCCCACCCUGCUCAGAAGAGAGCUGAAGUGCAGCCACCUCUGGGUCGGAGAGGACUGAUGUGCCAGGGCACAGCCCAGCCCGGAGGAAGAGAUCUGUCUGGUCUAAGGGCAUUGCAGAAGAAAACCCCAUGCAAAAUGGUCCCACAGGGCCAUGCAGGGAGAUCCGAAUGCUGAUCAAGGGAGGCUCUGACAGGUCCCUCAGCUGAGGAGUGCCAAGGUCUUGGGAGCUGUGCUAAUUUACAUGAGCUGAAGAUGUGACUACAUAUCUCCCAGAUGCUCCUUCUGCAAGGAACUGGAAAGAAGAAAAUCUCAACUUCAAGAUUGCACUCGAUUUAUUUCACAUCACUGCAGAAUCUUUGACACAAAGAGGUGAAAUAGAAGGGUGCAGGAGUGGGAUGCUGGCACAGAUCCCCAUGCCCAAGGAAUGGUAUCUGUGCAGAGGAACCCGCAAGACUGUGAGGCUGAGAGUGAGCAAAGUAAGUGCUUGUGCUGGGUGGUGAUUCCCCAUCUAGCCCUCUCCCAAAAGCAGAGCUGAAAUCCCAGGCAGAGCACACAUACGACAGCAGCUCCACUCAUCAGAGUGGCUUAGCCUCAUACCUCUAAGAAAUCAGGCUAAAAAUAUUCAUCAUGGGAGCACCUGUGACAGUUGCAAUGUCAUGGAUUAUUCAAGGUCUAUCAGAUGGCAGAGGGACAGAUGCUGUGGGCAUCUGCAGCAUUCACAGACUGUUCAUCAAUGUUAUGAAUUUAUGUAUCAUCUCCUGCAGGUUCUGCUACCAAUUGUAUUCCCAGUUAAAUGGGUCAGACAAGGAAGUACAUUCACUAAAGGAAUUGCAGUUUCCUAGACUUCAGAAACUUCAGUUCCAGAGGAAAUAUCCUAUAUUGAUUUGAUGUAGUUCAAGAAGGUGGCAGGGAGAGGACUA